GACGACGCUGGCGGCGUGCUUAACACAUGCAAGUCGAACGGAUCACGAUGAUUUCGGUUGUUGUGGUGAGUGGCGAACGGGUGAGUAACACGUGAGUAACCUGCCCCGAACUCUGGGAUAACGCUUCGAAAGGGGUGCUAAUACCGGAUAUUGAAUUCCUGCUGCUUGGUGGGGGUUUGAAAGAUUUUUGGUUCGGGAUGGGCUCGCGGCCUAUCAGCUUGUUGGUGGGGUGAUGGCCUACCAAGGCUUCGACGGGUAGCCGGCCUGAGAGGGCGACCGGCCACACUGGGACUGAGAUACGGCCCAGACUCCUACGGGAGGCAGCAGUGGGGAAUAUUGCACAAUGGGCGAAAGCCUGAUGCAGCAACGCCGCGUGCGGGAUGACGGCCUUCGGGUUGUAAACCGCUUUCAGCUCUGACGAAUUUGACGGUAGGAGCAGAAGAAGCACCGGCUAACUACGUG
rnacentral:rRNA from 1 species